rnacentral:lncRNA from 1 species
AGACUUGUCCUUUGCCACAUGUCACCUCCCCAUUCUUUUGACUGAUGACUGGAGGGACUUUUCUACACUUUCCUUCAGCCUCAUUCGCAAGCCACAGCAGUGACAAUGUGGAUCCUUAACUCGCUGAGCCCACCAGGGAACUCCUCCCCCAAAGUAUUUUGACCCACAUCAUUUCAUCAGGGACUGGGUGGUGUCUCUCAGUAAAGACAGAGAAUGACAAAGGAAUUCUGAUAUAUAUGCUCAGGCUAACAGAGGACAUUGGGGCCAAAGCCAGAAAAGACUCACAAAACGGUGCUCUGAUGUCAAAGGAGGAAAUCAUGUUGCCAAAGGGGAAACUGAAGCCCAGAAGCUUGAAAUAAGUUUUCCAAGGCUCCGUGUUUCUGAGGGACUCCUCAUCUGCCAAACUACCCGAACGUCUCUGAUGCUUUACAGGAAAUACAGAAAUCAGACUGACGAAGAAGCACUUUCAUCAAUUGAGGGUCAUCUGAGGAACUGACCUUGACAGAGAAAUCUGCACCCAGCCUUCUGAUCUCGCCAAGCCCUGGAGGUUUUUAAUUGCCCCUGU